rnacentral:rRNA from 1 species
CUACGGGACGCAGCAGUGGGGAAUAUUGGACAAUGGAGGAAACUCUGAUCCAGCCAUGCCGCGUGAGUGAAGAAGGCCUUAGGGUUGUAAAGCUCUUUCGCAAGGGAAGAUAAUGACGGUACCUUGAUAAGAAGCCCCGGCUAACUUCGUGCCAGCAGCCGCGGUAAUACGAAGGGGGCUAGCGUUGUUCGGAAUUACUGGGCGUAAAGCGCGCGUAGGCGGUUUGGAAAGUCAGGUGUGAAAGCCCGGGGCUCAACCCCGGAACUGCACUUGAAACUAUCAAACUAGAAUCCGGUAGAGGGCAGUGGAAUUCCUAGUGUAGCGGUGAAAUGCGUAGAUAUUAGGAGGAACACCAGUGGCGAAGGCGACUGCCUGGGCCGGUAUUGACGCUGAGGUGCGAAAGCGUGGGGAGCAAACGGGAUUAGAUACCCCCGUAGUC